rnacentral:rRNA from 1 species
UACGAAGGGUGCAAGCGUUGUUCGGAAUUAUUGGGCGUAAAGCGCGCGCAGGCGGAUGAAUGUGUCAGAUGUGAAAUUACGGGGCUCAACCCCGCUAGUGCGUCUGAAACUGUUCAUCUAGAAUGUCGGAGGGGGUAGGGGAAUUUCACGUGUAGGGGUAAAAUCCGUAGAGAUGUGAAGGAACACCUGGGGCGAAGGCGCCUACCUGGACGAUUAUUGACGCUGAGGCGCGAAAGCGUGGGGAGCAAACAGG